rnacentral:rRNA from 1 species
GAUGAACGCUGGCGGCGUGCCUAAUACAUGCAAGUCGAGCGAACAGAUGAGGAGCUUGCUCCUCUGACGUUAGCGGCGGACGGGUGAGUAACACGUGGAUAACCUACCUAUAAGACUGGGAUAACUUCGGGAAACCGGAGCUAAUACCGGAUAAUAUAUUGAACCGCAUGGUUCAAUAGUGAAAGACGGUUUUGCUGUCACUUAUAGAUGGAUUCGCGCCGCAUUAGCUAGUUGGUAAGGUAACGGCUUACCAAGGCGACGAUGCGUAGCCGACCUGAGAGGGUGAUCGGCCACACUGGAACUGAGACACGGUCCAGACUCCUACGGGAGGCAGCAGUAGGGAAUCUUCCGCAAUGGGCGAAAGCCUGACGGAGCAACGCCGCGUGAGUGAUGAAGGUCUUCGGAUCGUAAAACUCUGUUAUUAGGGAAGAACAAAUGUGUAAGUAACUAUGCACGUCUUGACGGUACCUAAUCAGAAAGCCACGGCUAACUACGUG